rnacentral:rRNA from 1 species
UACGUAGGGACCAAGCGUUGUUCGGAUUUACUGGGCGUAAAGGGCGCGUAGGCGGCGCGGUAAGUCACUUGUGAAAUCUCUGAGCUUAACUCAGAACGGCCAAGUGAUACUGCAGUGCUAGAGUGCAGAAGGGGCAAUCGGAAUUCCUGGUGUAGCGGUGGAAUGCGCAGAUAUCAGGAGGAACACCAAUAGCGAAGGCAGCUCGCUGGGACGGUAUUGACGCUGAGGCGCGAAAGCGUGGGGAGCAAACAGG